GAAACGACUGCUAAGACUGGAUAGGAAAAGUAAAGGCAUCUUUACUUUUUUAAAAGAUCUUCUUUGAAGGUAUGCUUAAGGAGGGGCUUGCGACACAUUAGUUAGUUGGUAGGGUAAAGGCCUACCAAGACUAUGAUGUGUAGCUGGACUGAGAGGUUGAACAGCCACAUUGGGACUGAGACACGGCCCAAACUCCUACGGGAGGCAGCAGUAGGGAAUUUUCGGCAAUGGAGGAAACUCUGACCGAGCAACGCCGCGUGAACGAUGAAGUACCUCGGUAUGUAAAGUUCUUUUAUUAAGGAAGAAAAAAGAGUGGAAAAACUCCCUUGACGGUACUUAAUGAAUAAGCCCCGGCUAAUUAUGUGCCAGCAGCCGCGGUAAUACAUAAGGGGCGAGCGUUAUCCGGAAUUAUUGGGCGUAAAGGGUGCGUAGGCGGUUUAAUAAGUCUAUAGUUUAAUUUCAGUGCUUAACGCUGUUGUGCUAUAGAAACUGUUUUACUAGAGUGAGAUAGAGGCAAGCGGAAUUCCAUGUGUAGCGGUAAAAUGCGUAAAUAUAUGGAGGAACACCAGAGGCGUAGGCGGCUUGCUGGGUCUUUACUGACGCUGAGGCACGAAAGCGUGGGGAGCAAACAGGAUUAGAUACCCUGGUAGUCCACGCCGUAAACGAUGAGUACUAAGUGCCGGGUAAAACUGGUACUGAAGUUAACACAUUAAGUACUCCGCCUGAGUAGUACGUACGCAAGUAUGAAACUUAAAGGAAUUGACGGGACUCCGCACAAGCGGUGGAUCAUGUUGUUUAAUUCGAAGAUACACGAAAAACCUUACCAGGUCUUGACAUUUUCUUGCGAAGUUAUAGAAAUAUAAUGGAGGUCAUCAGGAAAACAGGUGGUGCAUGGUUGUCGUCAGCUCGUGUCGUGAGAUGUUAGGUUAAGUCCUAAAACGAGCGCAACCCUUGUCGUUAGUUGCCAGCAUGUAAUGAUGGGGACUUUAACGAGACUGCCAAUGAAAAAUUGGAGGAAGGUGGGGAUUACGUCAAAUCAUCAUGCCCCUUAUGAUCUGGGCUACAAACGUGAUACAAUGGUUGAUACAAAGAGUAGCUGAAACGCGAGUUCUUAGCCAAUCUCAAAAAAUCAAUCUCAGUUCGGAUUGAAGUCUGCAACUCGACUUCAUGAAGUUGGAAUCGCUAGUAAUCGCGAAUCAGCAUGUCGCGGUGAAUACGUUCUCGGGGUUUGUACACACCGCCCGUCA
rnacentral:rRNA from 1 species